GUCUACAGCCAUACCACCCGAAUGUGCCAGAUUUUGUCUGUCUCAGAAGCUAAGCAGGUUGGGGUUUUUUAGUACUUAGUGCUCAGAUGGGAAACCUUUGUGCCU
rnacentral:rRNA from 1 species